rnacentral:rRNA from 1 species
AGCAUAUCAAUAAGCGGAGGAAAAGAAACCAACAGGGAUUGCCCUAGUAACGGCGAGUGAAGCGGCAACAGCUCAAAUUUGAAAUCUGGCUCCUUGGGGCCCGAGUUGUAAUUUGUAGAGGAUGCUUUUGGCGCGGUGCCUUCCGAGUUCCCUGGAACGGGACGCCUUAGAGGGUGAGAGCCCCGUACGGUUGGACACCAAGCCUCUGUAAAGCUCCUUCGACGAGUCGAGUAGUUUGGGAAUGCUGCUCUAAAUGGGAGGUAAAUUUCUUCUAAAGCUAAAUAUUGGCCAGAGACCGAUAGCGCACAAGUAGAGUGAUCGAAAGAUGAAAAGCACUUUGAAAAGAGGGUUAAAUAGCACGUGAAAUUGUUGAAAGGGAAGCGUUUGCGACCAGACCUUUUCCUAGCGGAUCAUCCGGUGUUCUUCGCCGGUGCACUUCGCUAGGUCGAGGCCAGCAUCGGUUUCUGCAGGGGGGUAAAAGCCCAGGGAACGUAGCUCUUUCGGGAGUGUUAUAGCCCUCCGCAUAAUACCCUUGCGGGGACCGAGGACCGCGCUUUUGCAAGGA